rnacentral:lncRNA from 1 species
CCUUUUUGGAAUGGAGACAGCAGAGAGUUGCUGGUCCUGUGAUCCUCCUGGGACAGUAAAGCCACACAGGGCAGCAAGAGCAGCCUUUCUGUUGCCGGAGAUAUUCUGUGGGUAUUGAUUCGGCUCCCUCUGACUUACUUACAAUGAGCUCCCAACACAAUCGAAGUGAUGUAUAAAACCGUGAGGCUGGAGCUUCGGCCAAGCAGAGGCAGUAUGCAAUACAUAAAAGCUGGAAGCCCCCCUUCCCCCCCCCCCCCCCCGCCGCGCUUCUGUGACACUUCCAGCUGGAAGAUGAAUCGGAGCCACACAUUCCAGCUCUGCUUGGGUAGCACGGAAAUAUGCAAGCUGCAAUCAUCUAGGUAUGCUCACUACAGCUAAAGUGGUGCUGUGGUGCCAGUGCCACGUGCCGCGAAGGCUGCCAGCGAGCAUUUUUUCCAAGGACCGAUUAUUGGGAAAUUCAGCCUUUCCUCCUCUCGCUCCCCAACCAUUCAUGGAAAGGUUGCCAUGUGCCAGGAAGCCCGACUAUUUCAGUCAGUCAUGAAGCCAUCUAAGCACAGGUGUUGGAAGAGGUCAGCCUUUGAGCCGUGAUUUAAUACUUAAAGAAGCCUGACCAGACUUGGAACUGAAGCACCUUAAGGACAAAAGAAAGACUUGCUGAGCUCGCUCACAGACCUUCUAGAGCAGCGCUGGGCUCAUGGAUCUGGAGAUUAUGGACAGAAGAUAAUGUAGAUGUUAUAACCAGGCCAGCGUCCUGUGGUAAAGGGUGUCUUUAGAUCACUGUUUCGUCGGUAUAGGUAAAUGACAUGAAGAACAUCUUUAUAGGCAGGGGAUGAGAAUCUGAGAUGAAGAAAAGAGGCUCCCCUGAUGGACCAUUCUAAGCUACUGUCAGAAGCAGGAUCCAUAGAACUUAAGGACAUGAUUGCAACAAUUAUCAGACAUUGGCCUCUUAGGUCAUGGUGAUCUUUUAGUAUUUUGGCUUUCUGCUGUCCUUUCAUAAAGGAACCUCAUUUUUAGCUUCUAUUGAAGAUAUAAAAUCAUCUCAUAGUAUUUUCUCAUUACUAGGAGCUGUAAAUCACUUCAAAGCUGUCUUUCUCCUUGAUCAUUUGCAUAUCAAAGUAUUUCUCUUGAGUACGGUGAUCUCUCCCCCUGUGGUUUGCUGUGUACCAGUUCUCUCUGGAUCCUAGGGCCUAGGGAAGUGUGGAUUCCAAGUGACUGGUGUUUUUCUACAGUAGAGCUUUUUUGUUGGCUCUUACCUGGGAGGACAAUGGGGAAGGGCCAGGGCCAUCCUGUUCUUUGCUGGGUGUGACCUUUCCUGCUCUGCUUCAGGGUUCCAUGCUGAAACCACCUUUAGCCAUCAUCGAGUGGGACUCCUUUUUACAUUUUGGUGAUUUCAAUAUUGUUUUUGUAUGGGUUUUGAGUUUCAGUCCUAAAUCUGUGUGGUGUGACAGAGGGAACCUCUACACAAAGGCCUGCCAAUCUGCAACCUCUUCAUGCUGCCACUGGUUAGAUCAACAGUUCACUCUAGACACUGAACCUUGCCUGCAUGCGUGCUAGUGUCACCACCAACAUCAGUAUCACUGUGCACCAGCAUCAGCAUCACUGUGCACCAGCAUCAGCAUCACUGUGUAUCAGCAUCAGCAUCACUGUGCACCAGCAUCAGCAUCACUGUGCACCAGCAUCAGCAUCACUGUGUAUCAGCAUCAGCAUCACUGUGCACCAGCAUCAGCAUCACUGUGUACCAGCAUCAGCAUCACUGUGCACCAGCAUCAGCAUCACUGUGUACCAGCAUCAGCAUCACUGUGUACCAGCAUCAGCAUCACUGUGUAUCAGCAUCAGCAUCACUGUGCACCAGCAUCAGCAUCACUGUGCACCAGCAUCAGCAUCACUGUGUAUCAGCAUCAGCAUCACUGUGCACCAGCAUCAGCAUCACUGUGCACCAGCAUCAGCAUGACUGUGUACCAGCAUCAGCAUCACUGUGCACCAGCAUCAGUAUCACUGUGUACCAGCAUCAGCAUCACUGUGCACCAGCAUCAGUAUCACUGUGCACAGCUCAAUCUCCAUACGUCAAUCGCCAGAUCGGUCCAAAAGUGUCUUGUCUGUGUGUAUUUUCUCCCACUUUACCACUCCACUCUGGCUUAAGCCUUCCCACCUGCUACUGUGUACUGUGUGGUUGCUGGCUUUGGGAACUCCCAAACUUUCCCUCUGUAUUUCAUGUUUCUGUUGGCCUGACAAGUAUCUCUUUCUAAAAAAGUACUAGUUUAUUUUAUGUGA